AGCCUCUGGUUUCUCUUCAGGUCGUAUAAAUCUUUCGCCUUUUACUAAAGAUUUCCGUGGAGAAGAACAGGCACCCGUGGAGAGAGGA